AUGUUUCAUGAGGAGAACAAUGGCAGAAUGAUUGACCAUGAGAAGUAUAAGAAAGAGUUGGAGAAGGUGCACAAGGAGUUGGAUACACUUGGUGAUCAGUAUAGUCAGCUGGUUGAGGAUGUCACCAAGAUGUUUGAUUGGGCAGAUCAGAACAACAGGGUCAUGAGUGAUGAAGAGUUCAAGCAGAAGCAGAUGGAUGUGGACAAGGACAUGGAGAAUCUAGCUAUCAGCAAGGAGAAGGACAGUGAUGGCAUUGGCAAGAUGAAGGAGAUGGAGAAACUGGCUCAGGAGCUCAAGGAGAUGAAGUGCAUUUAUAGAUCUCAGGGAGAGAUCAUUAGGAACACCAGGAAGGAGAGGGGUGGCUUCAAGAAAGAGAGGGACUGA
rnacentral:rRNA from 1 species